UACGAAGGGUGCAAGCGUUACUCGGAAUUACUGGGCGUAAAGCGUGCGUAGGCGGUUUGGUAAGUCUUUUGUGAAAGCUCCCGGCUCAACUGGGAGAGGGCAAAGGAAACUACUAGACUAGAGUGUGGUAGGGGAUACUGGAAUUCCUGGUGUAGCGGUGAAAUGCGUAGAUAUCAGGAGGAAUACCUAUGGCGAAAGCAGGUAUCUGGGCCAUCACUGACGCUGAGCUGCGAAAGCUAGGGGAGCAAACAGG
rnacentral:rRNA from 1 species